rnacentral:rRNA from 1 species
UUGGGUAGGGGAGCGUCGUGUGCCGGGUGAAGCAGCCGCGUAAGCGAGUUGUGGACGGUUCACGAGUGAGAAUGCAGGCAUGAGUAGCGAUACACACGUGAGAAACGUGUGCGCCGAUUGACUAAGGGUUCCUGGGUCAAGCUGAUCUGCCCAGGGUAAGUCGGGACCUAAGGCGAGGCCGACAGGCGUAGUCGAUGGACAACCGGUUGAUAUUCCGGUACCCGCUUUGAAGCGCCAAACAUUGAAUCAGGCGAUGCUAAGUCCGUGAAGCCGCCUGCCUCCAGCUUUGCUGUGGGUGGGAGUGGUGGAGCCGACGGACCAGACUUGUAGUAGGUGAGUGAUGGGGUGACGCAGGAAGGUAGUCCAGCCCGGGCGGUGGUUGUCCCGGGGUAAGGGUGUAGCCCGUGCGGUAGGUAAAUCCGUCGUACUUGUGGGUGAGACCUGAUGCCGAGCCGAUUGUGGUGAAGUGGAUGAUCCUAUGCUGUCGAGAAAAGCCUCUAGCGAGUUUCAUGGCGGCCCGUACCCUAAACCGACUCAGGUGGUCAGGUAGAGAAUACCGAGGCGUUCGGGUGAACUAUGGUUAAGGAACUCGGCAAAAUGCCCCCGUAACUUCGGGAGAAGGGGGGCCAUUUCUGGUGAUCCGAUUUACUCGGUGAGCUGGGGGUGGCCGCAGAGACCAGCGAGAAGCGACUGUUUACUAAAAACACAGGUCCGUGCGAAGCCGUAAGGCGAUGUAUACGGACUGACGCCUGCCCGGUGCUGGAACGUUAAGGGGACCGGUUAGCUCAGAUUCGUCUGGGCGAAGCUGAGAACUUAAGCGCCAGUAAACGGCGGUGGUAACUAUAACCAUCCUAAGGUAGCGAAAUUCCUUGUCGGGUAAGUUCCGACCUGCACGAAUGGCGUAACGACUUCUCGACUGUCUCAACCAUAGGCCCGGUGAAAUUGCACUACGAGUAAAGAUGCUCGUUUCGCGCAGCAGGACGGAAAGACCCCGGGACCUUUACUACAGUUUGAUAUUGGUGUUCGGUUCGGCUUGUGUAGGAUAGGUGGGAGACUUUGAAGCGGCCACGCCAGUGGUUGUGGAGUCAACGUUGAAAUACCACUCUGGUCGUGCUGGAUGUCUAACCUGGGUCCGUGAUCCGGAUCAGGGACAGUGUCUGAUGGGUAGUUUAACUGGGGCGGUUGCCUCCUAAAGAGUAACGGAGGCGCCCAAAGGUUCCCUCAGCCUGGUUGGUAAUCAGGUGUUGAGUGUAAGUGCACAAGGGAGCUUGACUGUGAGACCGACGGGUCGAGCAGGGACGAAAGUCGGGACUAGUGAUCCGGCGGUGGCUUGUGGAAGCGCCGUCGCUCAACGGAUAAAAGGUACCCCGGGGAUAACAGGCUGAUCUUCCCCAAGAGUCCAUAUCGACGGGAUGGUUUGGCACCUCGAUGUCGGCUCGUCGCAUCCUGGGGCUGGAGUCGGUCCCAAGGGUUGGGCUGUUCGCCCAUUAAAGCGGUACGCGAGCUGGGUUUAGAACGUCGUGAGACAGUUCGGUCCCUAUCCGCUGUGCGCGUAGGAGUCUUGAGAAGGGCUGUCCCUAGUACGAGAGGACCGGGACGGACGAACCUCUGGUGUGCCAGUUGUCCUGCCAAGGGCAUGGCUGGUUGGCUACGUUCGGAAAGGAUAACCGCUGAAAGCAUCUAAGCGGGAAGCCUGCUUCGAGAUGAGGACUCCCUCCCCCUUUGAGGGGUUAAGGCUCCCAGUAGACGACUGGGUUGAUAGGCCAGAUAUGGAAGCCUGGUAACGGGUGGAGUUGACUGGUACUAAUAGGCCGAGGGCUUGUCCUC